CAUCGAUGAAGAACGCAGCGAAAUGCGAUACGUAAUGUGAAUUGCAAAUUCAGUGAAUCAUCGAGUCUUUGAACGCACAUUGCGCCCCCUGGUAUUCCGGGGGGCAUGCCUGUCCGAGCGUCAUUGCUGCCCUCAAGCCCGGCUUGUGUGUUGGGCCCCGUCCUCCGAUUCCGGGGGACGGGCCCGAAAGGCAGCGGCGGCACCGCGUCCGGUCCUCGAGCGUAUGGGGCUUUGUCACCCGCUCUGUAGGCCCGGCCGGCGCUUGCCGAUCAACCCAAAUUUUUAUCCAGGUUGACCUCGGAUCAGGUAGGGAUACCCGCUGAACUUAAGCAUAUCAAUAAGGCGGAGGAA
rnacentral:rRNA from 1 species